AAGCCCAGGAACUAACUACAGUGUCGCAGUCAGAACGAAAGCUGCAGAAGGAAGUGAAUCUACGGUGGAGAAGGGAUUCAGUUACACAAUGCCUGAAGCAGUCUCAAACAUUACAGCCGUAGGAACCACAACUAGCCUUUCAGUGAGCUGGACACUGGUGACAGGGAAGGUCUCCAGUUACAGUGUUGUGCUAAAUAGUGCUGGACAGUUAGUGAACAGCACGGAUGUAAACAAUCAAACUACAAACACAGUCUUUGGGAGCUUGACACCAGGAGUAAUCUACUGUGUCCAGUUGAUCACCAAAAGUGGACCUUUUCAGAGUAACAGUUCACCUGUCUGCAGCGCAACUUUUCCCAACCCUCCUGGCUCCAUCACAGUGCAAUCUCAGACUGUUAAUUCCAUCAACUUCACCUGGGCCCUUCCACAGAACAUG